rnacentral:rRNA from 1 species
GAUGAACGCUGGCGGCGUGCUUAACACAUGCAAGUCGAACGGAAAGGCUCCUGCUUGCAGGGGUACUCGAGUGGCGAACGGGUGAGUAACACGUGGGUGAUCUGCCCUGCACUUCGGGAUAAGCCUGGGAAACUGGGGCUAAUACCGGAUAGGACGAUGGUUUGGAUGCCAUUGUGGAAAGUUUUUCGGUGUGGGAUGAGCUCGCGGCCUAUCAGCUUGUUGGUGGGGUAAUGGCCUACGAAGGCGUCGACGGGUAGCCGGCCUGAGAGGGUGUACGGCCACAUUGGGACUGAGAUACGGACCAGACUCCUACGGGAGGCAGCAGUGGGGAAUAUUGCACAAUGGGCGCAAGCCUGAUGCAGCGACGCCGCGUGGGGGAUGACGGCCUUCGGGUUGUAAACUCCUUUCGCUAGGGACGAAGCGCAAGUGACGGUACCUGGAGAAGAAGCACCGGCUAACUACGUG